UAAAAGUCCAUGUUCUGAACCUGUUCCUGAUUUCUAUCGGAGACCAUCAUCAUCAUAAACAUUAAAAAAAAUUCGAAGUUCCUAUAAGAUUUUGUAGUACAGUAUCGGUCGUUAGGGUUUGCUGUUUUCUAUCGCUACAAUUUCCAGUAUAAGGUUUGGUUUCACAGAGUCAUAAAAUCAAAGAUGGAUGAUUACCAGGAGGAAAUGGAAAGAUUUGGGAUGGAGAAUGACUUCGAAGACGGCCGAUUUAUAAAUGGAGAGUUCUACUUUAAAAAACAGAAAGAAAAACGAAAGCAGUCCAAAGACGAUGUUCUUUAUGGUAUCUUUGCGGAUUAUGACUCCGAUGAUGAUUAUGUUUCCUCUUCGCGAAAGAGGAGAAAAGACUCCCGAAAAGCUGACCUCACCAAGCCUGUCAAUUUUGUCUCCACAGGCACUGUUAUGCCUAACCAAGAAAUUGAUAAGAAUUUGAGAGACAAGAACAGUGAUGUUAUGUUUGCUGCUGCUGAUGAUAACAGACCUGGAAUAGGGUCUGGUUUUAAUACUGGGUUAGGGUUUAAUUCAGGACUUGGUGAUUUUAAUGGGGUUAAAAAGAGUGAGGAUUUUGAGGAUGAUGGUCGUGACGAGGCUGAAGAUAACUUUUUGCCAACAGAGUUUGGGAGAAGGAUAAAGGAGGGGGCAGAAAGGAGAGAGCAGGAGAGAAUGGAGAAGAAAGCUAAAGGAGUGGGGAAAAACAAGGAAAUGAAAGAUGGGGAUGUUGGGGUGUUUGAGAAGCAUACAGUAAAAGGAAUUGGGAUGAAGUUGUUAGAGAAAAUGGGUUAUAAGGGAGGUGGAUUGGGGAAGAACCAGCAAGGAAUUGUAGCCCCAAUUGAAGCAAAGAUGAGGCCAAAAAAUAUGGGAAUGGGGUUCAAUGAUUUUAAAGAAACAUCAGCUAAGUUGCCUCAAUUUGAGGAGAAGGAAACUGUGAGCCAAAGCCAGGGUCAGAUGGUGGGGAGAAUGAAGGAGAAGCUAUGGUUGAAGGGUAAGAAGAAGCAGAAGCAGGAGAAGUAUAUAACAGCAGAUGAAUUGUUGGCAAAGAAGGAAGAACAAGGUUUUGAGGUUUUUCAGAAGGUGAUUGAUAUGCGAGGGCCGCAGGUGAGGGUGCUGACAAAUCUGGAGAAUCUGAAUGCAGAAGAUAAGGCGAAGGAGAAUGAUGUUCCGAUGCCAGAGCUUCAGCAUAAUGUGAGGUUGAUCGUGGAUUUGGCAGAGCUUGAUAUACAGAAGAUUGACAGAGAUCUGAGGAAUGAAAGGGAGACUGCUAUGAGUUUGCAGCAGGAGAAGGAGAAGUUGGAAACAGAGGCAGCACGCCAGAAGAAGCAAUUGGAUAAUGUGGAGGAGAUCAUGGGUGUGCUGAGCCAUAUUGAGGAACAGAAGUCUUCAGGAACUUUGACCUUGGAUUCACUAGCAAAGUAUUUUACAGACGUAAAGCGGAAAUUUGCGGAAGAUUAUAAGCUUUGCAACUUGUCUUGCAUUGCUUGUUCAUAUGCUUUACCUUUGUUUAUCAGAGUAUUUCAGGGCUGGGAUCCUCUUAGAAAUCCAUUGCAUGGAUUAGAAGUAGUAGAAUUAUGGAAGAAUGUGCUGCAAGGUGAGGAAAGUAGUGAUAUAUGGGAUGAAGCUGCACCUUAUGCACAGUUAGUAACAGAAGUAGUUUUGCCUGCUGUAAGAAUAUCUGGGAUUAAUACUUGGGAGCCUAGGGACCCUGAACCCAUGCUUAGAUUUUUGGAGUCUUGGGAGAAUUUGUUGCCUUCAGCAGUUGUUCAGAGCAUCUUGGAUAAUAUAGUUAUGCCAAAAUUAUCUAGUGCUGUGGACUCAUGGGACCCUCGUCGGGAAACCGUUCCCAUACAUGUUUGGGUACAUCCAUGGCUGCUGCAGUUGGGAUUGAAAUUGGAGGGCUUGUACCAGAUGAUACGAAUGAAGUUAAGUAUGGUUCUUGAUGCGUGGCACCCUAGUGACGCAUCUGCUUACACCAUCUUAUCACCUUGGAAAACUGUGUUUGAUGCAGCCAGUUGGGAAAAUCUUAUGCGCAGAUUUAUAGUUCCCAAGUUGCAGGUUGCAUUGCAGGAGUUCCAAAUAAACCCGGCUAAUCAGAAGCUUGAUCAGUUCUAUUGGGUUAUGUCAUGGGCUUCAGCUAUUCCAAUUCAUCUCAUGGUUGACUUGAUGGAGAGGUUUUUCUUUUCGAAAUGGCUGCAGGUUUUGUAUCACUGGCUCUGUUCAAAUCCUAACUUACAAGAGGUUCAUAAAUGGUACAUUGGUUGGAAGGGACUUCUUCCACAAGAGCUUCAGGCACAUGAAAAUAUUCGUUAUCAGUUUACUCUUGGACUCAACAUGAUUGAUCGGGCUAUUGAAGGUAUGGAAGUGGUCCAACCUGGUCUGAGGGAGAACCUCAGUUAUAUUAGGGCACAGGAGCAGAGGCAGUUUGAGGCCCAGCAAAGAGCUGCAAUGCAUUCUCAGUAUCAAACUGCCGCUGGCAUGGGUAGCACAACGCAAAUGGGUGGUUUUGGUGGUGGUGCAGUUGAGAUGACUUUGAAAGAGGUUGUUGAGGCCCAUGCACAACAUCACAGCUUGCUCUUUAAGCCAAAACCUGGCAGGAUGCAUGAUGGUCACCAGAUAUAUGGGUAUGGUAACAUGAGCAUAUAUGUCGAUUCAAUACAUGAAAGGUUAUAUGUCCAGAAGGAGGAAGAUUGGUUACUGACAAACCUUGAUAAUUUGCUUGAGAUGCAUAAUAAUUCUCUUAAAAAGAGACGGUGAGUAGUAGAGCCUCGAUGAUGUGUUAGGAUGUGGGGGUUAACGCCGGACUGGGAAGCCAUUCCUUAAGUUCAUAGGUUGUAUGUUUUAUGCAUAAAGGCAUUGAAGAGAUAGAAUAGAAUGCAGAAUUCUCAUUUGAAUAUAAAAGAAGAUAUUUCACUGGUGCCUGAAUUGGGAUUCAGCUCUACCAUGAAACAUGGAUGAAGUAUAUAUGAAAGCUUCAUCUGAUGGGCUACUGUUGUGUCACUGGAAUAAAAGAGAGGGAAUAAGGAGCAUCCAUUGCUUUGUUCUCUAUAAGGUACUCUGUUCUUGUCUCGGUGCACGAGCCUUGGACAGUUUUAAGGGAGAUGAUAUGGACUAAGUAACUUCCAAUGAUGUCAUAAAACAUGCCGAUAUAUUAUCUGGUUUUGUUGUUGUCUCUCCUCUCUGAUGAUACUCUCUCCCUUGAGGUUAUAACUGCUUUUCAUUAUUUACUUCGAUUAUUGGUUAUUUGUUGUGGACUUGGUGUGCAACUUGAGAUAUGUUUAAAUUUGACUGAUGAAUGUUUUAGAAUGCAUGUAGUUCUACUCUCUAGAGUUUUUGAUGAGGAAUGGGCAGUUGAAGAGACGAUGCAGGAAUUUGAUGACAGGGUUUCCAAUGCAGUAUGUGUGGAAGUGGAAGGAGCGAAGGGGUUUUGAAGCUCCAAAGAUUUAUUCGUGAAGCUCCACGAGGGAAAUUCCAAGUUUAAAUCACUUGAAUCAUCCAUGUUCGGUUUUUGUAUUCCUAUGCUGGUUCUCCUGGCCUUUCUCUAAUUUGGUUUCAGAUUCUUUUUUCGUACAUAUACUUGCGCAGGUGCCGGCUUCAGAUUGACUUUACUGAGCUCAUAUCAGACUUCUGGGUGUAUUAGUGACCAGUUCAACGAACACCUUUUUUUUGUAAUCAUGGCUCUAAGAUCAAAAUAGAUACGUAAAUAGAAGAAUCCUUUUACAUGGCA